rnacentral:lncRNA from 1 species
AAUUUUUCUGUGAUAUUUCCUUCUCCUCAUCUAGUCCUUGAUAUGUCAUAAGAAAACCCUGGUAAGAUCUCAGACCAGUUUGGUUGGAAAUGGAAUGUAUUAACAAUGGACCCUCUUAACUCCUUAAGAAUGAAUUAGCAGAACUUAAAACUCUGGAAUGCUGAUUCACAGACAUGAAUUGAAAAGGUCUUCCUCCUCCUGACAAUAGAACUAAUGACAUACUUCAGUCACAUCACAUGACUCAAAGCGAGGUAAUAAAACAGUGAAUUUUAGUAAUGCAAGCCUUCAUUUACCUUUGCCAUGGGACUUACAGCUUAACCCAUGUAUUUGACUCUACAAUCAACUCCAUCAUUUCUUGAAGCAAUCAGACCAAUUCGCUAUCAGGAUGUGGAGAACAAUAUUGAUGACGACCGUUUUUAUGUUAACUGCACAUACUACAAUCAGAGCUCAGCCAGUGACUGAUGUUACAGAAGCUACAGACUCAACAGAUGACAUCGCAACAGAUUCACUUAUUCAUGUUACGAAUGAUUCUACCGCAGACACGAUUGAUGGAUUUGCCAUAGAAAUGUCCAUGGAAUCAAUUACAAGCAGCACUGUGAAAUCUAUAACCGGAUUAACAGAUGAAUCAACCAACGGUGACCUGACAGAAUUUUCAACAUCUUUGCUGGAUGACUCUACCAUUAAUACUACAGAUCAGUCAACCAACGCACCAAAAUUUACAGCAGGAACAACAGCAUUUACUGAUGAAUUACCAAUAGAUUUCAAAGAGGACCCAUCCACAAACGUUACAGAUGAAUCAACAACAGAGGAAAUGGAACCAUCAACUUCAGGAGUUACAGAUCAAUCGACUACAACACAACCAACUACAAGAACUGUAGCUGGAUCCACCUUAGAAGAAAUAACUGUAAAUGUCACUGAUGAUACCACUGACGAAGAACUGACAACUGCAUUCACAUCAGAAAUAUCUACAAGUGUCUCAAACGAACCAACACCGUUUACAAAUGAUUCAUCAGAGGAAGAUUCAACAGAGGAAACUGAACCAUCAACUUCAGGAGUUACUGAUCAACCAACUGUGACACAAUCAACCACACAAACUAUAACUGGAUCCACCUUAGAAGAAAUAACUGUAAAUGUCACUGAUGAUACUACUGAUGAAGAACUGACAACUGCAUUCACAUCAGAAAUAUCUACAAGUGUCUCAAACGAACCAACACCGUUUACAAAUGAUUCAUCAGAGGAAGAUUCAACAGAGGAAACUGAACCAUCAACUUCAGGAGUUACUGAUCAACCAACUGUGACACAAUCAACCACACAAACUAUAACUGGAUCCACCUUAGAAGAAAUAACUGUAAAUGUCACUGAUGAUACUACUGAUGAAGAACUGACAACCGCAUUCACAUCAGAAAUAUCUACAAGUGUCUCAAACGAACCAACACCAUUUACAAAUGAUUCAUCAGAGGAAGAUUCCACAGAGGAAACUGAACCAUCAACUUCAGGAGUUACUGAUCAACCAACUGCAACACAGUCAACCACAAAAACUAUAGCUGGAUCCACCUUAGACGAAAUAACUGUAAAUGUCACUGAUGAUACUACUGAUGAAGAACUGACAACCGCAUUCACAUCAGAAAUAUCUACAAGUGUCUCAAACGAACCAACACCAUUUACAAAUGAUUCAUCAGAGGAAGAUUCCACAGAGGAAACUGAACCAUCAACUCCAGGAGUUACUGAUCAACCAACUGUGACACAAUCAACCACACAAACUAUAGCUGGAUCCACCUUAGAAGAAAUAACUGUAAAUGUCACUGAUUAUACUACUGAUGAAGAACUGACAACUGCAUUCACAUCAGAAAUAUCUACUAGUGUCUCAAACGAACCAACACCAUUUACAAAUGAUUCAUCAGAGGAAGAUUCCACAGAGGAAACUGAACCAUCAACUUCAGGAGUUACUGAUCAACCAACUGCAACACAAUCAACCACAAAAACUAUAGCUGGAUCCACCUUAGAAGAAAUAACUGUAAAUGUCACUGAUGAUACUACUGAUGAAGAACUGACAACCGCAUUCACAUCAGAAAUAUCUACAAGUGUCUCAAACGAACCAACACCAUUUACAAAUGAUUCAUCAGAGGAAGAUUCCACAGAGGAAACUGAACCAUCAACUUCAGGAGUUACAGAUCAACCAACUGCAACACAAUCAACCACAAAAACUAUAGCUGGAUCCACCUUAGAAGAAAUAACUGUAAAUGUCACUGAUGA